CUACGGGGCGCAGCAGUGGGGAAUAUUGCACAAUGGACGAAAGUCUGAUGCAGCAACGCCGCGUGGAGGAUGACACAUUUCGGUGCGUAAACUCCUUUUAUAUAGGAAGAUAAUGACGGUACUAUAUGAAUAAGCGCCGGCUAACUCCGUGCCAGCAGCCGCGGUAAUACGGAGGGCGCAAGCGUUACUCGGAAUCACUGGGCGUAAAGAGCGUGUAGGCGGAUAGAUAAGUCAGGAGUGAAAUCCUAUGGCUCAACCAUAGAACUGCUCUUGAAACUGUCUAUCUAGAAUAUGGGAGAGGUAGAUGGAAUUUCUGGUGUAGGAGUAAAAUCCGUAGAGAUCAGAAGGAAUACCGAUGGCGAAGGCGAUCUACUGGAACAUUAUUGACGCUGAGACGCGAAAGCGUGGGGAGCAAACAGGAUUAGAUACCCCGGUAGUC
rnacentral:rRNA from 1 species